UUGUUGGGGUUGUAGGACUCCAAUAUGGUAGUCUGUUAGUAUAGUUGAAGGAUUUGGAAAAUUCCGCUAAAGAGGGUGAAAGCCCCGUAGACGAAAUGCUAACAACACCUAGGAGGAUCCUGAGUACGGCGGAACACGAGAAAUUCCGUCGGAAUCCGCGGGGACCAUCCCGCAAGGCUAAAUACUCCCUAGUGACCGAUAGUGAACCAGUACCGUGAGGGAAAGGUGAAAAGCACCCCGGAAGGGGAGUGAAAUAGAUCCUGAAACCGUGUGCCUACAACAAGUCAAAGCUCGUUAAUGAGUGAUGGCGUGCCUUUUGUAGAAUGAACCGGCGAGUUACGAUUGCAUGCGAGGUUAAGUCGAAGAGACGGAGCCGCAGCGAAAGCGAGUCUGAAUAGGGCGAAUGAGUAUGUAGUCGUAGACCCGAAACCAUGUGAUCUACCCAUGUCCAGGUUGAAGGUGCGGUAAAACGCACUGGAGGACCGAACCCACGUACGUUGAAAAGUGCGGGGAUGAGGUGUGGGUAGCGGAGAAAUUCCAAACGAACUUGGAGAUAGCUGGUUCUCUCCGAAAUAGCUUUAGGGCUAGCCUCGGAAUUGAGAAUGAUGGAGGUAGAGCACUGUUUGGACUAGGGGCCCAUCUCGGGUUACCGAAUUCAGAUAAACUCCGAAUGCCAUUCAUUUAUAUCCGGGAGUCAGACUGCGAGUGAUAAGAUCCGUAGUCGAAAGGGAAACAGCCCAGACCACCAGCUAAGGUCCCAAAAUAUAUGUUAAGUGGAAAAGGAUGUGGGGUUGCACAGACAACUAGGAUGUUGGCUUAGAAGCAGCCACCAUUUAAAGAGUGCGUAAUAGCUCACUAGUCGAGUGACCCUGCGCCGAAAAUGUACCGGGGCUAAACAUAUUACCGAAGCUGUGGACUACACCAUUAGGUGUAGUGGUAGGAGAGCGUUCUAAGGGCGUUGAAGGUCGAUCGUGAGGACGGCUGGAGCGCUUAGAAGUGAGAAUGCCGGUAUGAGUAGCGAAAGACAGGUGAGAAUCCUGUCCACCGUAUGACUAAGGUUUCCUGGGGAAGGCUCGUCCGCCCAGGGUUAGUCGGGACCUAAGCCGAGGCCGAUAGGCGUAGGCGAUGGACAACAGGUUGAUAUUCCUGUACCAGUUGUUUUUGUUUGAGCAAUGGAGGGACGCAGUAGGCUAAGGAAUGCAUGCGAUUGGAAGUGCAUGUCCAAGCAAUGAGUCUUGAGUAGAGUUAAAUGCUUUACUCUCUAAGGACAAGUUGUGACGGGGAGCGAAAUAAUAGUAGCGAAGUUCCUGAUGUCACACUGCCAAGAAAAGCUUCUAGUGAGAAAACAACUGCCCGUACCGUAAACCGACACAGGUAGUCGAGGAGAGUAUCCUAAGGUGAGCGAGCGAACUCUCGUUAAGGAACUCGGCAAAAUGACCCCGUAAC
rnacentral:rRNA from 1 species